UUUAUUUCUUUUAAUAAAAAUUUAGUUACUAUAAAUUUCCUUUAUUUCUUUCCAUAUAGAGAUAGAAGUAGCUAGAUUAGAUAGAUAGUACAAUCAAUUUAUAUAUAUUAUAUGUAAUGUAUUAUAUGUAUUUUUUUACAUAUAUUUAUUUUUUUCUUAUGCGUUUUAUCUAUACGUUCAAUUACGCAUGUUAAAAUUAUUUUUAUAUUUUUGUUAAAUUUCAAUGUAUAAAAAUCUAUAAAAUAUAUUAUAUUUCAAUUUUCGUGCGAUUGAAGUGAAUAAGGAAUUCAACCAAUCAAAAAAUUGCUAAGGACUAGCGACAAAAUGAAUUAAUGCGCAUCAUAGUACGCGCAUUAUAAUGCGCAUGUCAUCAGUCUACAGUUGAAAAGUGUAGUGAGAGGUUUUUGAUUUUAAUGUGUUUAAAAUAUUUCUUAUAAUUUAGUUCCCCAAGAAAUUGAGUAUUUAUAUUUAUGUCACAUUCGAUUUAUUGAAGUAUUAAGCAUAUCUUCUCUUUUCAUUUGUAAUUCGAUACAUCGAAAUCGCAAUGUGAAGUGUCAUUCUAUUGUCGAAAUUCAUAACGAUUAGAUGUUUCGCAUCAGAUAUUUUAUGUUCUUCACGACGACCUCCAUAGACCACAACAACAUUAAUGCAGAUUCUUCGCAUUUAAAGAUUAAUCGAAACGAUGAAAAAAUCCAAUAGAAAACUGUUUAUAAGAAAACUCAUUCAAGUUGGAAAGAGGAACUUACAACUUUAUUCAGAAUUUCUCAGAAUUAAGACAGUUCGCGCGUAGACAAAGCGGCUUUCAUUAUCUUGUGAGUGAGAGAAGCCAGGAUGGUAAAACGGUAAUUCGGUUAUUCGAGAUGCCAAUCAUCAGAUACCAUCG